GUCAGAGGAUCGAAGACGAUCAGAUACCGUCCUAGUUCUAACCAUAAACGAUGUCGACUAGGGAUCGGCGGGCGUUAAUCGCAUGUGUCAAUCUAAUCACUGUAGUAAGAAUCCAAGAUGAAGAGCAAAUAUACCUUAUUAAUGUCUAUCAGUAUGUAGUUUACUAUUUACGAAUCCCCCAGAAACCUCUAAGUUUAAUUGAAGUGAGUUUCUUUGGAAAGAAUAGAAUCUGGAU
rnacentral:rRNA from 1 species